ACGGAUCCUUCGGGAUUAGUGGCAGACGGGUGAGUAACGCGUGGGAAGCUACCUUGUGGUAGGGGACAACAGUUGGAAACGACUGCUAAUACCCUAUGAGCCCUAUGGGGGAAAGAUUUAUCGCCAUGAGAUGUGCCCGCGUUAGAUUAGCUAGUUGGUAAGGUAAUGGCUUACCAAGGCGACGAUCUAUAGCUGGUCUGAGAGGAUGAUCAGCCACACUGGGACUGAGACACGGCCCAGACUCCUACGGGAGGCAGCAGUGGGGAAUAUUGGACAAUGGGGGCAACCCUGAUCCAGCCAUGCCGCGUGUGUGAUGACGGCCUUAGGGUUGUAAAGCACUUUCAGCAGUGAAGAUAAUGACAUUAACUGCAGAAGAAGCCCCGGCUAACUUCGUGCCAGCAGCCGCGGUAAUACGAAGGGGGCUAGCGUUGUUCGGAAUCACUGGGCGUAAAGAGUACGUAGGCGGACUGAUAAGUUAGGGGUGAAAUCCCAAGGCUCAACCUUGGAACUGCCUUUGAUACUGUCAGUCUUGAGAUCGAGAGAGGUGAGUGGAACUCCGAGUGUAGAGGUGAAAUUCGUAUAUAUUCGGAAGAACACCAGUGGCGAAGGCGGCUCACUGGCUCGAUACUGACGCUGAGGUACGAA
rnacentral:rRNA from 1 species